rnacentral:rRNA from 1 species
AGACCCGCCUUCGCCACUGGUCUUCCUUACGAUAUCUACGCAUUUCACCGCUACACCGUAAAUUCCAGUCUCCUCUCCAGUCCUCAAGCACGGCAGUAUCGAAUGCAGUUUCGGAGUUAAGCUCCAAGAUUUCACACCCGACUUACCGCGCCGCCUACGCACCCUUUACGCCCAAUGAAUCCGAACAACGCUUGAGACCUCUGUAUUACCGCGGCUGCUGGCACAGAGUUAGCCGUCUCUUCCUCUUCGGGUACUAUCAACACAAAUACAGUUAAUAUCUGUGCAUUGUUCCCCAAUGACAGGAGUUUACAAUCCGAAGACCUUCAUCCUCCACGCGGCGUCGCUCGAUCAGGGUUUCCCCCAUUGUCAAAAAUUCUCGACUGCUGCCACCCGUAGGUGUCUGGGCCGUGUCUCAGUCCCAGUGUGGCUGGUCGUCCUCUCAGACCAGCUACCCGUCAAAGCCUUGGUGAGCCGUAACCUCACCAACUAGCUGAUAGGCCGCGGGCCCCACAAGAAGCGUCAGGUUGCCCCGACUUUAAUUUCGAAAGGAUGUCCUCUCUAAUCACAUGCGGUAUUAAUUCGCCUUUCGGCGAGCUAUCCCCCACUUCCUGGCAGGUUGCCCACGUGUUAAGCACCCGUUCGCCACUAAACUAUUCCCGGUAUUGCUACUAGAAAUAGUCCCGUCCGACUUGCAUGUCUUAUCCACGCCGCCAGCGUUCGUUCUGAGCCAGGAUCAAACUCU